GGUUGUGCCCUUGAGGCGUGGCUUCCGGAGCUAACGCGUUAAAUCGACCGCCUGGGGAGUACGGCCGCAAGGUUAAAACUCAAAUGAAUUGACGGGGGCCCGCACAAGCGGUGGAGCAUGUGGUUUAAUUCGAUGCAACGCGAAGAACCUUACCUACUCUUGACAUCCAGAGAACUUUCCAGAGAUGGAUUGGUGCCUUCGGGAACUCUGAGACAGGUGCUGCAUGGCUGUCGUCAGCUCGUGUUGUGAAAUGUUGGGUUAAGUCCCGCAACGAGCGCAACCCUUAUCCUUUGUUGCCAGCGGUUCGGCCGGGAACUCAAAGGAGACUGCCAGUGAUAAACUGGAGGAAGGUGGGGAUGACGUCAAGUCAUCAUGGCCCUUACGAGUAGGGCUACACACGUGCUACAAUGGCAUAUACAAAGAGAAGCGACCUCGCGAGAGCAAGCGGACCUCAUAAAGUAUGUCGUAGUCCGGAUUGGAGUCUGCAACUCGACUCCAUGAAGUCGGAAUCGCUAGUAAUCGUAGAUCAGAAUGCUACGGUGAAUACGUUCCCGGGCCUUGUACACACCGCCCGUCACACCAUGGGAGUGGGUUGCAAAAGAAGUAGGUAGCUUAACCUUCGGGAGGGCGCUUACCACUUUGUGAUUCAUGACUGGGGUGAAGUCGUAACAAGGUA
rnacentral:rRNA from 1 species